rnacentral:lncRNA from 1 species
UUUUGGAUUUUAAACUUAGUAUUUCUCUUGUUUCAAUUGAUAAUAACAUAAGCGAUUUUGUACCGACCGUCCCUAGAGCAAGUGGUAAAAGACUUGGUGGUUAGUAUCCGAGACCCAAGUUCGAAUUCUAGUUGAUUCACAUUUCUAGCUAAAUUUAUUUCUAAAUGAAAUAAACGAAGCGGAUAGCCUGCUACCUAUCUCUCAAAAAAAAAAAAACAUAAGCGAUUU